CAGAUUGAAACUGGUGUUAGUUUACUUGUAUUGGCUCUAAGGAGACAGGAAACCACGCCUGGUGGAUGAACUGUGGCUGUCUGGCUAGAGCGUGAUUAACAGCCCCUCGGGUCAGGUUUCUGGCUCAUGUUGCAGUAGAUGAUCGUUCUUGGCUACAGUCAGGAUGGCCAGGCAGCUGUCUGAUAGAC